rnacentral:rRNA from 1 species
CGUUACAGUAGAGUUUGAUCCUGGCUCGACGGAGAACGCUGGCGGCGUAGGCCUAAUACACUGCAAGUCGAACGGAGAUAUUCGCUGAUGAAGUACUUCGGUAAUGAAUCUUGGAUAUCUUAGUGGCGACGGGUGAGUAACGCGUGAGCAACCUGCCUUUCAGAGGGGGAUAACGUUUGGAAACGAACGCUAAUACCGCAUGACAUUAUCUUAUCGCAUGGUAGGAUAAUCAAAGGAGUAAUCCGCUGAAAGAUGGGCUCGCGUCCGAUUAGGUAGUUGGUGGGGUAACGGCCCACCAAGCCGACGAUCGGUAGCCGGACUGAGAGGUUGGACGGCCACAUUGGGACUGAGACACGGCCCAGACUCCUACGGGAGGCAGCAGUAAGGGAUAUUGGUCAAUGGGGGAAACCCUGAACCAGCAACGCCGCGUGAGGGAAGACGGUUUUCGGAUUGUAAACCUCUGUCCUCUGUGAAGAUGAUGACGGUAGCAGAGGAGGAAGCUCCGGCUAACUACGCG